CCGGGAAACACUUUGGUGUUGGUUUCUCGAUCCGAGUCUGAGCAGAUUGCCACUCCUGGGCAAGGAAGAUCGCCUGAGUUAGAGUUUCUUGAGGAGGAUCAUGGCGAUGAUCGAAGAUCUGUUGGUUUCGGGCCACCCAGAUUUUCCAUAGAAUCCAGGGAUGAAGAGGGCCAAGGCCGAUGCCCGUUGGUGUGCCCACACUUGUUUUGCAAAAUUGCAGGUGAAAAAGAGAUGUAGAGUGCUUUCAAUUUCUCCACAGAAAGGGCAAUUAGCUGUCGCAUUGAUACCUCUGUGGCGUAAGUUUUCUCCAACUGAUUCCUCUCCAUCCAUGGGAAGAGGAGCUUGGGACAGAGCUGUCUAGGAAAGGAGUGGUAUGACAGUAUUUUCCCAAGAGUGUUCUGGCCAGCAGACAGGUUGGUUUUGUAAGGAUUCGCCAGCUAACUUUUGCAAGAAGAGCGUCAUUAAAGCUUUGAAGAUCUCUGAAUCCUAGCCCGCCUUCUCCUUUUGCUUUGGUUGGCAUGGCGGCCAAAACAGAUUUUAACAUGGUGACCUUUCCUGCUGUAGACAGAAAACGUGAAGACCAGCUGCAAGCACGUUGACGGAUCCUGUCUACUAUUAAGAAGGAGUUUUUGCAGAAAAUGUGAUGGCUGACUUCAGAGGAUUGAUCAUCUGACCAGAAGCAAGCUCAUACUUCUUCAGAAUCUCCAAUAAAGUGUCGUAGUUUUGAUUAUCUGAUUUACAGAAGAACAUGGUAUCAUCUGCAAAUAAUAGGUGGCUGAUCCGUGGACUCUUUUUCCCAACUUUGAUUCCUGUGAGUUUAUUUUCCAUUUGUGCUUUGUUGCAGAGUCCCGGGAGCACUUCACUGCAGAGGAUGAACAGGUAUGGAGAAAGAGGAUCUCCUUGGCGUAUUCCUCUCUGUGGAAGGACUGAGCCUUGAGCUAUCCCAUUCAGCAGGUAUGAAUAGUUAACUGUGGUCACACAU